GAGGUGGAUGGAUCAUGAGGUCAGGAGAUGGAGACCAUCCUGGCCAACAUGGUGAAACCCCAUGUCUACUAAAAAUACAAAAAUUAGCCAGGCAUGGUGGCGCAUGCCUGUAAUCCCAGCUAGUUGGGGGGCUGAGGCAGGAGGAUCACUUGAACCUGGGAGUCAGAGGUUGUAGAGAACUGAGAUCACACCACUGCACUCCAGCCUGGCAACAGAAAGAGGAUCCAUCUCAAAAAAAAAAAGAAAAGACAUUUGAAUUUAACUUCAUGUCAUAGUUUUUAUUUCCCCUUUUCUAUCAUGAUCUUUGCUACUUAUAAUUUUUUCUUCUUCCCAAGGUCUUGGACAACCAUCACUGAAGUCCACCAUGUCCCCAAAUUUACAUUUCUUUAUCUUACUCACAUUCUUGGCAAGGUUAGUCACCACUCACCACUCAAUCUUUCUUAAAACACAACCUUAAUUUUUGUGACUUUACAUUUUGCUGUUUUUCAUCGUUAUCAUGAACCAUCUCCUCCAAGUCUGUUUCUGCAUACCCUACCCCCGUUCAGUUCAAUUUUGCAAAGUUGGAGUACCCCAAGCAUCACUGUUCUCCGUCUAUAGUAUUUUCCAGGUGAGCUCUUAUAUAUUCCCAUGGUUUUGACUACCACUCAUGUGGUAGACUCUCAUGUUUGUAUCUCCAUCCUGAGUAUUCCAUUGAGCUCUAAACUCUAAACUAUAUUAACUGUAAUUCUAUUCUGAAAUAUCUAAUCAUGUAAUCAUCUUAUUAACCAGUUGCAAUCAUCAUUAUCACUUGCAGGAAUGUUCUGCUCUCCAACCUGUUUGCUUUGCUUUCACAAAAAAUUCCAACUAUCUCCUGAAACAUAAAUCUUCUCAUGUUAUAUAACACAUACCCAAUACACACACACUUAAAACCCAUCAUGUGCUUCUCUUUGCACCUAGAAUAAAAUCUAAAGCCCUUACCACUACCUACAAGAACCAAAGACAUCACCUAGCUCCACCUUUCCAGACUGAGGACCUAUCACUCUCUCCCCAGCUCUUUACACUCCAGCCCCAGUAGCUUUGUUUUUAUGCUUCAAGCCCAUUGUUAUGAACUGGAUGUUGUGUCCCCUCAAAAUUCCUAUGUUGAAGCCUAAAAUCUUCAUUAUGAUGACAUUUGGAGGUGAGGCCUUGGGGAGGUAAUUAGGUCCUGAAGGUGGAGUCCUCAUGAAUGGGAGAUGCAUGCCCUUAUAAAAAGAGACAGGAAGAUAAUCCCUGUUUCUUCUCUGUAAAGACGCAGCAAAAAGGCAUUCAUCUGUAAACAAGGAAGAGAGUCUGUUGAGGAGAA
rnacentral:lncRNA from 1 species